rnacentral:rRNA from 1 species
AUGGCCAUGGCCAUGGCCGACGACGACGGCCCCAUCCCCCCGCCUCCGCCGCCGCCGCCGCCUCGCCGCCCCCACAGGCAGCUCCAGCCGAGGAGGUACCAGGUGGAGGUGUUCGAGGCGGCGCUGCAGGGGAACACCAUCGCGGUGCUCGACACCGGCUCCGGAAAGACCAUGGUCGCCGUCCUGCUCGCGCGCCACCACGUGGGCCGCGUGCGCGCCGGGGAGGUGCCCCGCCGGAUCGUCGUCUUCCUCGCGCCCACCGUGCACCUCGUCCACCAGCAAUUCGAGGUGAUUCGGGAGUACACGGACCUCGACGCCGCUGAGUGCUACGGAGCUUCGGGGGUCGGCGACUGGAGUACCGACCGCUGGAACAAGGAAGUUGGGAGCAAGGAGAUUGCUGUUAUGACGCCCCAGAUAUUGUUGGAUGCCCUGAGGCAUGCCUUUGUAACAAUGAGUGCAGUGAGCCUGCUAAUAUUUGAUGAAUGCCAUCGUGCCUGUGGAAACCACCCAUAUACACGAAUAAUGAAGGAAUUUUACCUUGGCUCUCAGUGGAGGCCAGCUGUAUUUGGAAUGACAGCAUCUCCUGUUGCUACUAAAGGCACUUGCACGGUACAAGAUUGUGAAGCACACAUUGGUCAACUUGAACUUACAUUGGAUGCGAAGGUAUAUAUCAUAAAAGAUCGUAGUGAACUUGAGAGCUUUUCCCCUCCUGCAACAAUUGUGAACAAAUACUAUGAUGCUUACUCGAUUGAUUUCGAAGAUCUGAAAUCGAAGCUCCAGAUAUUGUAUGAAGAGUAUGAUGCUUUGUUGGCUAGUCUGCAAGAAUCGUCACCAAAUAAAUUUGAAGACACGAAUAACAUAUUAGAGACAUCAAGAAAGACCUUGUUCAGAUACCAUGAGAAGAUAUUUUAUGGCCUAAAUUAUCUUGGUCCAAUCAUCACCGCUGAGGUAGUGAAGAUAUAUAAUGAAAGCAUUAAGACACUGGGUGAUUCUGAAGAUUGCCUCUUCUCGAAAGCUAGCUUCAGCCUGCAUGUAGCUUAUUUUAAAGAAGCUUUAGAUUUAGUUGAGGAAGUAUUGCCACAUGGUUAUGGUGAACUAAUGAAAUCAGAAUCUGGUUCUGCGGAAUUAAUUAAAAGCGGGUAUAUUUCUUCAAAAGUGGAUGCUCUAAUCAACAUUUUUAAAUCAUUUGGGUCAUCAAACGAAGUGCUUUGCCUAAUUUUUGUAGAAAGAAUUAUGACAGCUAAAGCUGUUGAGAGGUUCAUGAGAGGAAUUGUUAAUUUCUCUAGUUUUUCAAUUUCUUACUUGACUGGAGGGAGUACAUCAAAAGAUUCUCUGAGCCCAGCAGUGCAGAGAUAUACUUUGGACUUGUUCCGAUCUGGAAAGGUGAACUUGCUUUUCACCACAGAUGUAACUGAAGAGGGUAUUGAUGUACCUAACUGUUCUUGUGUCAUACGCUUCGACCUGCCCAGAACUGUUUGUAGCUACGUUCAAUCUCGUGGUCGUGCCAGAAGGAGCAGCUCAAAUUAUGUUCUUAUGAUUGAGAGGGGAAACAUGGAUCAGCAGGAACACAUAUUCCGCAUAAUACAGACUGAGUACUAUAUUAAACACUUCGCUCUGUAUAGGCACAGAAACCCCAAUGUUUCAUCCUCUGAGUGGCCUAUGCAAGAUAAGUAUGCAUACCAUGUUGAUUCAACAGGAGCAACUAUAACUGCAGACUGCUGUGUUGAUCUGAUCCGUAAAUAUUGUGAGAAACUUCCUAAAGAUAGGUAUUACAUUCCAAAGCCUUCCUUUGCGGUGGCUAUCGAAGAUGGAUCAUACCAAUGCACCUUGACUUUGCCUCCAAAUGCGGCGUUUCAAAGGAUAGUUGGCCCUUUAUGCAGUACAAGUAAUUUAGCCAAGCAGCUUGUAUCCCUAGAUGCGUGCAAGAAAUUGCAUCAGCUAGGAGAACUCAAUGAUCAUCUUCUACCCUUCACCGAAGAACCUAUUGAUAUUGAUGUUGCUUUAAGAGAUGGGAAAUUCCUUUCUGGACCAGGAACGACUAAAAGAAAGGAGCUCCAUGGAACAAGAAAUGUUCUUGCCCUGUCAGGAUCGUGGAUUCAUGAAAGUGAAAGUGUCACAUUGAAUGCUUAUAGAUUCGAUUUUCUUUGUGACCAAGAGGGUGAAAACUAUGCUGGGUUUGUUCUCUUAAUGGAAUCAGCACUUGAUGAUGAUGUAGCUUGUUCAAAAAUGGAUCUAUUCCUGAUCCCUAAUAAAAUGGUCUACACCACCGUAACUCCGUGUGGAAAAGUUCAACUGGACAAAAAACAGCUACGUGACGGGAAGUUGUUCCAAGAAUUCUUUUUCAAUGGAAUAUUUGGUAGAUUAUUUCAUGGAUCUCGAACAAGUGGAGUGCAAAGGGAAUUUCUUUUCAGAAAAGGUCAUGAAAUACAAUGGAGCUCACAGAGCAUGUACUUACUUUUACCUUUGAGGCAUUCACCACACAUCCAGCAAGAUUUAAACAUAUACUGGGAGGCAGUUGAAUCCUGCACCCAGGCGGUGGAGCAGUUGAGAAAUUUGUAUCUGGAAGAUGAAAAUAUCCGUGCAAAUUUUAUUCAACAUAGAAGUAUCAAGGAGAAAGACAUUAUUCAUCUGGCCAACAAAUCUCUUCAUUUUUCUAGCAUCAAAGAUUCAGUUGUGCUAUCGCUUCAUACUGGAAGGAUAUACUCUGUUCUUGACUUGAUCUAUGGCACAACUGCUGAAGACUCGUUUGAAGAGAUGUAUAAUGGAAAAGCUUCACCGUUUUCUUCAUUCGUGGACUACUACCGUGAAAAGUAUGGUAUUGUUAUUCAACAUCCAAAACAACCGUUGUUGCUGUUAAAGCAAAGCCACAAUGCACACAAUCUUCUUUUUUCAAAAUCGAAGUACAUAGAUGGUUCUACGGGCGAUCCUUUGCUCAUGGAAAAAGAGCAAAUACACGCCCGGGUCCCACCUGAAUUGUUAAUCCACAUUGAUGUGACAAUUGAAGUUCUCAAAUCUUUUUAUUUAUUGCCUUCUGUAAUGCAUCGACUUCAGUCUCUCAUGCUAGCCAGCCAGCUCCGCAGAGAUAUUGGUUACACUCAACAUAUACCAAGUUACCUGAUUUUGGAAGCUAUCACAACUUUAAGGUGCUGCGAAACAUUUUCCCUGGAGCGUUUAGAACUAUUGGGAGACUCAGUACUAAAAUAUGUGAUAGGAUGUGACCUGUUUUUAAGGUAUCCUAUGAAACAUGAAGGUCAUCUUUCUGAUAUGAGAUCAAAUGCUGUCUGCAAUGCUACACUUCAUAAGCACGGAAUCUGGCGAUCCUUGCAGGGUUACGUGCGGGAUAGUGCAUUUGACCCACGGCGUUGGGUUGCUCCUGGGCAGAUAUCUUUGCGCCCUUUUCCUUGUAACUGCAGAAUUGAGACUGCAUUUGUUCCAAGUAAUGGAAGGUAUAUCAGCGACGACCCAUCUUUUGUCGUUGGAAAACCAUGUGAUAGAGCUCACAGAUGGAUGUGCUCGAAAGCAAUAUCUGAUUGUGUUGAAGCCCUAGUUGGAGCAUAUUAUGUCGGUGGUGGCAUAGUUGGUGCACUUUGGGUUAUGAAGUGGUUCGGUAUUGAAAUAAAAUGUGAUAGGAAGUUGGUACAGGAAGUAAAGCUCAAUGCGUCUUAUAUAUGCUACUUACCUAAAAUAAGUGUUAUUGAGGAGUUGGAAGCAAAACUGAAGUACAACUUCUCAGUCAAGGGCCUUCUACUGGAAGCCAUAACUCAUCCAUCUCUGCAGGAAUUAGGGGCUGACUACUGUUACCAGCGUUUGGAAUUUCUGGGUGAUUCUGUGCUGGAUCUACUAAUUACACGCUAUCUGUAUGUUACCCAUACUGAUGUUGAUCCUGGAGAAUUGACAGACCUACGUUCCGCUUUGGUUAGCAAUGAGAAUUUUGCAGAAGUAGUUUUAAGAAAUAACAUUCACAGUCAUCUACAGCAUGGGUCUGGAAUACUUUUGGAGCAAAUCACAGAAUAUGUUAGAUCCAAUUUGGAGUGCCAAGGGAAGGUUAAUAAAUUCCUUCAACAUGCUACAUGUAAAGUACCUAAGGUGCUUGGAGACAUUAUGGAAAGCAUUGCCGGUGCAAUAUUUGUAGACACAGAUUUUAAUGUUGAUGUGGUUUGGAAGAUUGUUGAACCGUUGCUUUCCCCAAUGAUAACCCCUGAUAAUCUUGUAUUGCCACCUUAUCGGGAGUUGUUAGAGCUGUGUAGUCACCUUGGUUAUUUCAUAAAUUCAAAAUGCAGUAGUAAAGGAGAAGAAGUAAUUAUAGAGAUGUCAGUGCAAUUACGAGAUGAACUGCUGAUAGCGCAAGGACAAGACAGAAAUAAGAAGAGUGCAAAGUCAAAAGCAGCAGCUCGUAUAUUGGCAGAUCUGAAGAAAAGAGGCCUUUCAAUGAAACAAUGUUCUUCUAAAGCUAAGCAGUUGGAUAUUAUAUCUUCGGACCAGCAGUAUCCUUUGGCAAGUUUGGAAUCACCACUUGAUUAUUGUCACGUGGAUGCCAAUCCUAGCCUAGGAGGCCUUCCCUCACUGAAAGAAGCAGUUGUUCUUCGGCUUAAACUGGACAAAGGUGGACCACGGAGUGCUCUUUUUAAGCUAUGCAAGAGGUUGCAGUGGCCAAUGCCAGAAUUCGAAUUUGUGGAACAAAGGUUCAGGACUCCUAUUGUUCUGGACGGGGUAACCACAACGAACUUCAAUAGCUUCGUGUCAACCAUCACCUUGCACAUACCUGAUGUAACAGCCAUUACACUUCAAGGCGAGCGGCGAACUGACAAAAAGAGUUCCCAGGAUUCAGCAUCGCUGAUAAUGCUCCACAAGCUUCAAGAGCUCAAGGUCUGUAUAUGCAAGACUUAG